rnacentral:rRNA from 1 species
AUUGAACGCUGGCGGCAGGCUUAACACAUGCAAGUCGAGCGGGGUGAUGGUGCUUGCACUAUCACUUAGCGGCGGACAGGUGAGUAAUGCUUAGGAAUCUGCCUAUUAGUGGGGGACGACAUCCCGAAAGGGAUGCUAAUACCGCAUACGUCCUACGGGAGAAAGAAGGGGAUCACUUGUGACCUUGCGCUAAUAGAUGAGCCUAAGUCGGAUUAGCUAGUUGGUGGGGUAAAGGCCUACCAAGGCGACGAUCUGUAGCGGGUCUGAGAGGAUGAUCCGCCACACUGGGACUGAGACACGGCCCAGACUCCUACGGGAGGCAGCAGUGGGGAAUAUUGGACAAUGGGGGGAACCCUGAUCCAGCCAUGCCGCGUGUGUGAAGAAGGCCUUAUGGUUGUAAAGCACUUUAAGCGAGGAGGAGGCUCUUUUGGUUAAUACCCAAGAUGAGUGGACGUUACUCGCAGAAUAAGCACCGGCUAACUCUGUGCCAGCCGCCGCUGUAA